rnacentral:rRNA from 1 species
CGGAGAGUUUGAUCCUGGCUCAGGACGAACGCUGGCGGCGUGCCUAAUACAUGCAAGUCGAGCGGGGUUGUUUAGAAGCUUGCUUCUAAACAACCUAGCGGCGGACGGGUGAGUAACACGUAGGCAACCUGCCCACAAGACAGGGAUAACUACCGGAAACGGUAGCUAAUACCCGAUACAUCCUUUUCCUGCAUGGGAGAAGGAGGAAAGGCGGAGCAAUCUGUCGCUUGUGGAUGGGCCUGCGGCGCAUUAGCUAGUUGGUGGGGUAAAGGCCUACCAAGGCGACGAUGCGUAGCCGACCUGAGAGGGUGAUCGGCCACACUGGGACUGAGACACGGCCCAGACUCCUACGGGAGGCAGCAGUAGGGAAUCUUCCGCAAUGGGCGAAAGCCUGACGGAGCAACGCCGCGUGAGUGAUGAAGGUUUUCGGAUCGUAAAGCUCUGUUGCCAGGGAAGAACGUCUUGUAGAGUAACUGCUACAAGAGUGACGGUACCUGAGAAGAAAGCCCCGGCUAACUACGUGCCAGCAGCCGCGGUAAUACGUAGGGGGCAAGCGUUGUCCGGAAUUAUUGGGCGUAAAGCGCGCGCAGGCGGCUCUUUAAGUCUGGUGUUUAAUCCCGAGGCUCAACUUCGGGUCGCACUGGAAAC